GUGGAGUUGUGUAAUAUAUGCAACAAACAUUUAUUGUAUUUAGUAUUAUUAUUCCUAUAAUUAGUGUUACUUAAAAGAAUAUUUGAGUGCACUGAUAGGAAUGGUGUACUGUACAGCCCAUUGCUUGGUGUGAAAAAUUAGUGGUGGCCCAGUGUUAAACAAUUUUUGAAAAUAAAGCUCUAUCUCAAAUCUAAUCAAGGGUAGACUAUCUAUAUUGUAUAAAUAUGGUAUACAGGGUGAUCAAUAUAAUGUAAGAUCCUAAUUAUUUUGGAAAGUAUUAACUUUUUUCAGAAUUUAUUUUUUAGAUAAUUUAAGAAAUAACUAGCUCUAAACUGUUACAUUAUAGUUAUUUUAAAGGGUAAAAUCAUUGUCUGAUUUUGAUUUUUUAAAUGGUGAUCUAUAUUAAAAUUCUGUAAAUAGCUGCAGUAUAAAUUUAAAUAAAUUUUAGUGUUGAGAUUUCUGAUAAUAAUAAUGUGUGUUAAUAAUGCAUCACCACUCCCCAACCCAAACUUAAAAGUGGAAUAUCUCGUCAACGGAUAGACGAAAAUCAAAAAUUUCAACACCAAAAUGUAUUUUAACUAAUACGUCAUCUAUUUAUGAAAUUUUUAAUAUAGGUUGCCAUUUAAAAAUCAAAAGUAGGUAAGUGGUAUUACCUACAAAAAUAAGGAUGACAAAAAAAUAACAUAAAUAUAAAAUUGUAGAGCAGCUUGUUUCUAAAAUGUUCUAGAAAAUAAAUUCUGGAAAAGGUUUUUCUUACUUAGUACUUAGUACUUUCCGAGAUAAUGAGUGUACCGACUUAAAUGGAUCACCUGGUAUAUGGAAUACUAUGUUGCUAAUUAUUCUGCCAC